rnacentral:rRNA from 1 species
AUUGAACGCUGGCGGCAGGCCUAACACAUGCAAGUCGAGCGAGUGGGGGGCGGGUGGGUAAUGUCUGGGAAACUGCGCGGGGGAGGGGGUUAACAACCGGGAGCUGAUGCUAAUACCGCCCUCCAUCGGAUGGGCCCAGAUGGGAUUAGCUAGUAGGUGGGGUAACGGCUCACCUAGGCGACGAUCCCUAGCUGGUCUGAGAGGAUGACCAGCCACACUGGAACUGAGACACGGUCCAGACUCCUACGGGAGGCAGCAGUGGGGAAUAUUGCACAAUGGGCGCAAGCCUGAUGCAGCCAUGCCGCGUGUAUGAAGAAGGCCUUCGGGUUGUAAAGUACUUUCAGCGAGGAGGCGUUACUCGCAGAAGAAGCAUCGGCUAACUCCGUGCCAGCCGCCGCGGUAAUAC